rnacentral:rRNA from 2 species
AAAAUGACUCUCGGCAACGGAUAUCUCGGCUCUCGCAUCGAUGAAGAACGUAGCAAACUGCGAUACUUGGUGUGAAUUGCAGAAUCCCGUGAACCAUCGAGUCUUUGAACGCAAGUUGCGCCCGAAGCCAUUAGGCCGAGGGCACGUCUGCCUGGGCGUCACGC